rnacentral:rRNA from 1 species
UGGUUUAAUUCGAUGCAACGCGAAGAACCUUACCUGGUCUUGACAUCCACAGAAGAAUCCAGAGAUGGAUUUGUGCCUUCGGGAACUGUGAGACAGGUGCUGCAUGGCUGUCGUCAGCUCGUGUUGUGAAAUGUUGGGUUAAGUCCCGCAACGAGCGCAACCCUUAUCCUUUGUUGCCAGCGGUUAGGCCGGGAACUCAAAGGAGACUGCCAGUGAUAAACUGGAGGAAGGUGGGGAUGACGUCAAGUCAUCAUGGCCCUUACGACCAGGGCUACACACGUGCUACAAUGGCGCAUACAAAGAGAAGCGACCUCGCGAGAGCAAGCGGACCUCAUAAAGUGCGUCGUAGUCCGGAUUGGAGUCUGCAACUCGACUCCAUGAAGUCGGAAUCGCUAGUAAUCGUGGAUCAGAAUGCCACGGUGAAUACGUUCCCGGGCCUUGUACACACCGCCCGUCACACCAUGGGAGUGGGUUGCAAAAGAAGUAGGUAGCUUAACCUUCGGGAGGGCGCUUACCACUUUGUGAUUCAUGACUGGGGUGAAGUCGUAACAAGGUAACCGUAGGGGAACCUGCGGUUGGA